rnacentral:rRNA from 1 species
GACGAACGUUGGCGGCGUGCUUAACACAUGCAAGUCGAACGGAAAGGCCCUGCUUUUGUGGGUUGCUCGAGUGGCGAACGGGUGGGUAACCCGUGAGUAACCUGCCCUUGACUUUGGGAUAACUUCAGGAAACUGGGGCUAAUACCGGAUAGGAGCUCCUGCUGCAUGGUGGGGUUUGGAAAGUUUCGGCGGUUGGGGAUGGACUCGCGGCUUAUCAGCUUGUUGGUGGGGUAGUGGCUUACCAAGGCUUUGACGGGUAGCCGGCCUGAGAGGGUGACCGGCCACAUUGGGACUGAGAUACGGCCCAGACUCCUACGGGAGGCAGCAGUGGGGAAUAUUGCACAAUGGGCGGAAGCCUGAUGCAGCAACGCCGCGUGCGGGAUGACGGCCUUCGGGUUGUAAACCGCUUUCGCCUGUGACGAAGCGUGAGUGACGGUAAUGGGUAAAGAAGCACCGGCUAACUACGUG